ACAGGUGUCACAUAAUUUCCUUUCUUUCUCCAGUCGAUGGAGUCUGGGUGUGGUCCGUUGCUGCUGAGGAAGUUCCCCCUGGUAGCGGAGCAGUUCUGGAAAAGGAAGUAAAAUAUAAAGCUGGGACUUUACACACAUCAUCACUUGCUAGGACAGAGAGAUGCUGAUGUUAAAAUACUUUCAGAUUAUAUUUUAUUUCAUACUGAGCGAGCAUGAUGUCAACUGAUAGAUGAUCUACAAAAACACUUGAGACAAAAUGCCCCUGAUAUAAAAUGGAUUUAUUAGCAAGAGGUAACUGGGAAACAUGUUUGUUUGUUUGUUGUUAUUACCAUCAUCAUAUAUUUUCUUUUGUUGUCUUUUCAUUUGUUUUCUUACAAAACUGUGAAUAUUUCUUAAGGUGUGGAAACAUGAGGGCUGAAAGAUAAUUUUCAUACCACUGGGUAUUGCUAACAGCAAAAGGUUUAUUUGUUUAUAUACCUUAUAAGAGUAUGUGCAUGUAUAAGUGUAUACAGUAUAAGUAUAGAGUAUUAUUCUGUAUGUGAAGGUGUUGCAUGCCUGCCAUAUGAGCUUCAAAAGUGUACUGUACAUACAUAGUAAAAAUACAUACAAAUAUUCACAGAAUAAGCACUACGUUACUAUAUUCCUGCUAACAGAAAUGGUUAUAGACAGGAUUACAGUAUAAAUGCAAAACACUUUGAUGUUAUCUUCUGCCUCUAAGUCAUGGUUUCAGGACCACAUUGUUGUAGCGUUUUGUGUUUAAGCUUGAGAUACAACUUUUUUUUUUUUUUUUUAAGGAUUACACUGUUCCACAUUGAGAAAUAUGCAGGGUUGCAUGUACAAAAUGUACAGCACAUCGCAGUGAGGUGAAUUAACAACAAAGUACAAAAUACUUUCCCAUGUUCAUAUAAAGAGCAGGUCACUCUCUCUUAUACUACUACAAAAAUAGUGUUUGAAUGCUGCAGGCAGAGGUCAUUCACAUAUGUUUUAUCAUAGUUUUUAAACAGCAAUGCAUAUAACAGAGUGAUAUACAGUCACGUUCCACAAUCACUGGAACAGCAAAAAGGACAGAUUGUCUUUUAAUUACAGAAGAGCAACAACCUUUUACUCUACAUAGCCUAAGUAUCGCCAAACCUGAAGGUACAACACCAUUCCAUCGCAUUUAAUCUUUAAUUUUUUAAUGAUUGAUGAUGAUGACUAAUCUUUCACUUUAAUUCAUCUAAAGAAAUCACUGUAUGUUGUUACACAGCUUAUAGCUGAUUAUAAAAUAAACUGAGUGAGUUUUGUCGCUUUAUGUGACAACAGGCUAAGAAAGGAGCAUAUUGCUUUACAACAAAUAAAAAGACACUUAAAAUUUUGUCAGUUUUAGGUGAAUGAAGACACGCCUUAGAGCCGAGGUUCCCGACCCCUGUGGACCGCUACUGAUGCUCAGAAAAUUUGCUACCCGGCAGCGAAAAAACUGUGUGAUUCUGCUGGGGAAAAAAAACCUAAAUAAUUAUAAAAGGAUGUCUGUUCUGCAGGUUUCAUCACUCCCUGUCACCUUCUCAACAACAAUAUACUUAAGCCAUGCUAGUGGCCUGUCAGUAGAUCGGUCCACCACUUUGAUCCUCGUAUACAUAUUUCAACAACUAUUUUAUAGAUUGUACUGAAAUUUGGUUCAAAUAUUCAUGGUUCCCAGAGCAUAAAACCUCCUGACUUUGGUGAUCCCCUAACUUUUCCUCUGUUACCACCAUGAGGUUCAUAUUUGUGUUUUCCACUGAAAUUGAACUGUUGGAUGGAUUGCCAUGAAAUUUGAUACAUUCAUGUCCCUUUCAGGAUCAAUUCUAAUAACUUUGCAUAAUAACUUGCAUCUAGUGCCAUCAUCUGGUAAAACAUUUUUAUUGGUCCAAUAUUUUGCUUUGUGAUCAAAUACCUGCAAAACUAACAACAUUCCCACCAGCCUUUGUGUUUAGUGGUAAUUAGCAAAUGUUAGCAUGCUAACACACUAAACAAAGAUGGUGAACAUGGUAAACACAAGCAUGUUAACAUGCUGAUGUUAGCAUUGGGCUCAAAGCACCGCUGUGCCUAAA